rnacentral:rRNA from 1 species
GAUGAACGCUAGCGGCAGGCUUAAUACAUGCAAGUCGAGGGGAAGCAGGACUGUGGCAAUACCGUUGCUGGCGACCGGGAAACGGGUGCGGAACACGUACGCAACUUACCCUGGACUGGGGGAGAGCCCGGGGAAACCCGGAUUAAUGCCCCGUAAUAUAAUGGUGUGGUAUUCCUUUAUUAUUAAAGCUCCGGCGGUUUGGGAUGGGCGUGCGGCUGAUUAGGUUGUUGGUUGAGGGAAGGGGUGACCAAGCCUCCGAUCAGUAACUGGUGUGAGAGCAGGACCAGUCAGACGGGCACUGAGACAAGGCCCCGACGCCAACGGGAGGCAGCAGUAAGGAAGAUAUGGCAAUGGAGGCAACUCUGACCCAGCCAUGCAGCGUGGAGGAUGAAGGCCCUCUGGGUUGUAAACUUCUGUGAUAGGGGACGAAACCUGUGUAUUCUUACGCAGUUGACGGUACCCUAGGAAUAAGCACCGGCUAACUCCGUG